AAUAAGUACAGUUUUAUACUGUUCAUGUCUUACGUUUGAUCGUUCGUUUUAUUUGAAUUUUUUUUACGAUUAAUAUUUUUAUUGUUAUUAGAUGAUAAAACAUGAAUAGUACUCUAUGUGUGACUAACUUAUUUUAAUUUUCUCAUAAAUUUUUCAAAUAAGACGGAUGGUCAAAUAUUGGACACGGAUUCCUAUGGCUGCAUUUAUU
rfam:Oryza nivara chromosome 2, whole genome shotgun sequence.